UGGGUCGGCCGGACGGUCGCGUCGCGGGCGGUUCGCCGCCUGCGCCGAGGAACGUCCGGGCUCCGCAGGGCAGGGCGGUGGGUAACACCCACCCGGAGCGAUCCGCGAGACAGUGCCACAGAGAGCAGACCGCUCUCCGGUCCCGAGCUUGUCGAAGGGCCGGAGAGUAAGGGUGAAAGGGUGGUGUAAGAGACCACCGGGGCCGUGGUGACACGGCCCGCACGGUAAACCUCGCCCGGAGCAAGGCCAGACAGGGGAUGACGACGCGGCCCGCCGAGUCCCCGGGUAGGCCGCUGGAGCGGCACGGCAACGUGUCGCCGAGAGAGAUGACCGUCCACGGGGCUUCGGCCCCCGGACAGAACCCGGCGUACAGGCCGGCCCAUUCG
rnacentral:RNase_P_RNA from 1 species